AUGAGCAGUUUCAGCUCUCUCCUGUUGGAAUUUGACCUGCAGUACUUGGAAAAAAAAAAUCAAACAGAAAAAAGAAAACCUUGGGAAUUAUAUUCUCUUCGGCAAAAUGUCGUGGAACAAGGCUAUGGAGCACGUCUUUCCUUCUGGAUGCUCUCAGCAAUGUUGGGAAUGUCUUCGGAGUUGGGAUUUGGACCUGGACCCCCCGCCACCCCUUGGGCGUGUACAUCAGGCUAUGGGAGACGUGCCUUAAUCUCUGGCUCAGAGCCUUGUCAAAUGCUGCAGUACAGAACUGGCAAGCUCAAUGCUGCUAAUGGAUUGAAACCUCCACCAGGUUGUUCAUUUCUAGAGGCAGGCUUAUGGCCAUACCACUAA
rnacentral:lncRNA from 1 species